GACGAACGCUGGCGGCGUGCUUAACACAUGCAAGUCGAACGGAAAGGCCCUGCUUUUGUGGGGUGCUCGAGUGGCGAACGGGUGAGUAACACGCGAGUAACCUGCCCUUGACUUUGGGAUAACUUCAGGAAACUGGGGCUAAUACCGGAUAGGAGAUCCUGCUGCAUGGUGGGGGUUGGAGAGUUUCGGCGGUUGGGGAUGGAAUCGCGGCUUAUCAGCUUGUUGGUGGGGUAGUGGCUUACCAAGGCUUUGACGGGUAGCCGGCCUGCGGGGGUGACCGGCCACAUUGGGACGGAGAUACGGCCCAGACUCCUACGGGAGGCAGCAGUGGGGAAUAUUGCACAAUGGGCGGAAGCCUGAUGCAGCAACGCCGCGUGCGGGAUGACGGCCUUCGGGUUGUAAACCGCUUUCGCCUGUGACGAAGCGUGAGUGACGGUAAUGGGUAAAGAAGCACCGGCUAACUACGUG
rnacentral:rRNA from 1 species